UGAUAGAAUGGUGAUAAAGUAAUGAUACCAUGGUGAUAAAGAAGUGAUACAGCAGUGAUAAAGGAGUGAUACAAAAUGCUGAUUGUAUUUAUCUUUAGUUUCUUGUUUUGUAUUUAAAUAAUAGAAUAAGUAUAAAUAUUAGAUCGGUACGGGUUUCCGUUGGGUUAGGAAUAUUGUUUCCAUUAACCAAACCAAACAUCUCG
rnacentral:lncRNA from 1 species